GUCUGAAAACGUGCAGUUCUCUUUCCAUCGACCUGGCCUCCCUGCAUAGGGCAAUGGAGUCGUGGACGUGGGGCUGUUUUCAAGAUAUCACAUGAUGAGUGUCUGAGAAUUGUCUCAGAGAGGUCAGGAGACCUCGUGAAGAAAGACCUUCUCUGUCGAUACCAAACAUCAACACGCAAACGUCCAGAUUUAUGGCGGAGACAGUACGAUGGGUACCACAGAAAUUUCUACCUGAAAAACGCUUCUAAGUAUUGAUUGAAGGACGUGGACAAUUGAGUGUUUCUAAUGUGACAAGUGAUUAUAACCCCAGCAACGACACACAGUUCUUUACUGAGAGUAACAGUUGAGUCUGUUAACAGCUCUUCCAUCUUAUGACAAAAUACACAUUCAGCACAACUUCCUAUAUAGCUGUUAAAAAUGAGAAGAAAACAAAUGUAUUUUUGAGACAGAUGAACAUGAUAGAAUGUCCAUAAUGGAUGUUUAAAAUGAUGUGAAAAGAAUCAGUUUUCAAGAUUUCAAAAUGUGGACCUGACCUGGUCACAGAGCUAAAGAGGCAAAGAGCAGAAGGAUGAAGAGACAUCAUCAACACAUGGACUUCCCACCACAGAGGAACAACAACAACAAAACACUUCCACAUAUCUGGGUCGAAUUCAUGUCUCUUCCAGGUGGAAGGAGCACCUGGGUGUGCUGGUUUGUCAAGUCCACUUUACCAACAAGACAAAUGCCUUCGGUGACAAUCAUAGUUGAAAGGCACAUUCAGAACCAAUUUUACCAGGACAGAGAUAUGACGUCACCAGGUAACUUACUUAUCUCCUUUGCUUUUGGAGAUGCCGACCAACUUCUCGA